UGAACUGUAGCACACCAGGCUGCCACGCCCU
rnacentral:piRNA from 1 species